CGGGACACGUGGUAUCCUGUCUGAAUAUGGGGGGACCAUCCUCCAAGGCUAAAUACUCCUGACUGACCGAUAGUGAACCAGUACCGUGAGGGAAAGGCGAAAAGAACCCCGGCGAGGGGAGUGAAAAAGAACCUGAAACCGUGUACGUACAAGCAGUGGGAGCACAGAGCAAUCUGUGUGACUGCGUACCUUUUGUAUAAUGGGUCAGCGACUUAUAUUCUGUAGCAAGGUUAACCGAAUAGGGGAGCCGAAGGGAAACCGAGUCUUAACUGGGCGUUAAGUUGCAGGGUAUAGACCCGAAACCCGGUGAUCUAGCCAUGGGCAGGUUGAAGGUUGGGUAACACUAACUGGAGGACCGAACCGACUAAUGUUGAAAAAUUAGCGGAUGACUUGUGGCUGGGGGUGAAAGGCCAAUCAAACCGGGAGAUAGCUGGUUCUCCCCGAAAGCUAUUUAGGUAGCGCCUCGUGAAUUCAUCUCCGGGGGUAGAGCACUGUUUCGGCAAGGGGGUCAUCCCGACUUACCAACCCGAUGCAAACUGCGAAUACCGGAGAAUGUUAUCACGGGAGACACACGGCGGGUGCUAACGUCCGUCGUGAAGAGGGAAACAACCCAGACCGCCAGCUAAGGUCCCAAAGUCAUGGUUAAGUGGGAAACGAUGUGGGAAGGCCCAGACAGCCAGGAUGUUGGCUUAGAAGCAGCCAUCAUUUAAAGAAAGCGUAAUAGCUCACUGGUCGAGUCGGCCUGCGCGGAAGAUGUAACGGGGCUAAACCAUGCACCGAAGCUGCGGCAGCGACGCUGAUGCGUUGUUGGGUAGGGGAGCGUUCUGUAAGCCUGCGAAGGUGUGCUGUGAGGCAUGCUGGAGGUAUCAGAAGUGCGAAUGCUGACAUAAGUAACGAUAAAGCGGGUGAAAAGCCCGCUCGCCGGAAGACCAAGGGUUCCUGUCCAACGUUAAUCGGGGCAGGGUGAGUCGACCCCUAAGGCGAGGCCGAAAGGCGUAGUCGAUGGGAAACAGGUUAAUAUUCCUGUACUUGGUGUUACUGCGAAGGGGGGACGGAGAAGGCUAUGUUGGCCGGGCGACGGUUGUCCCGGUUUAAGCGUGUAGGCUGGUUUUCCAGGCAAAUCCGGAAAAUCAAGGCUGAGGCGUGAUGACGAGGCACUACGGUGCUGAAGCAACAAAUGCCCUGCUUCCAGGAAAAGCCUCUAAGCAUCAGGUAACAUCAAAUCGUACCCCAAACCGACACAGGUGGUCAGGUAGAGAAUACCAAGGCGCUUGAGAGAACUCGGGUGAAGGAACUAGGCAAAAUGGUGCCGUAACUUCGGGAGAAGGCACGCUGAUAUGUAGGUGAAGUCCCUCGCGGAUGGAGCUGAAAUCAGUCGAAGAUACCAGCUGGCUGCAACUGUUUAUUAAAAACACAGCACUGUGCAAACACGAAAGUGGACGUAUACGGUGUGACGCCUGCCCGGUGC
rnacentral:rRNA from 1 species